rnacentral:lncRNA from 1 species
ACACAAAGUAUGUAUAUCCCGAUCGAUCGAGCGAUCUACUACUACCUAUGUCUCUCACCGUCUCACGGCACCAACAAAGCUAGCAGGCGGCCCUCGGCUCAAGUCCAAAUCACAAGUAAUGAGUAACACAAUAAGUCAUUGCGGCGAGGGCGCCGGACCACCACACGAAGCACCGGAGACUUUUAGACGAGUCGAUUCUUUCCUGCAUUUCCCCAGUCCACCCCUUCAGCUUCUCCACUUCCCUGCAUCGCCCAAUUCAGCGCCCAAUUAGUAAUCAUACACACCAUCAGUCAUAAGGCUGGCCAUAGUGGAAGUAAAAGGGUGCUUGGAUACGUUGUAGUCCCAUAAUUAAAAGUAGUGGGACUAAAACUUGUUAGCCUCACCCAUGCUUGGAUCCAAAUACUAAGGAGACUAAAAUCAAGUUAAUUAGCAUUUAUUAUCCUUCAAACCCUUCAAUCUAGAACUCGCAUGUGUUAAAGGAGGGGAGUUAAAUGAGGAGAGAGAGGACUAAUCCACAUUUUAGUAGGGUUACCCUAACUAAAAGAUUUUAGCCUCAAGACUAGUUUUAGUCUCUCUUUAGUCAGGCGUGUUUGGAACUUUAGCCUCUUAAAGAUACUAUUUUUAGUCAGACUAGUUUUAGUCUCUUGGAUCCAAGCACCCCCUAACUUAGGUAGUAUCAUGUACUUGAGACUAGCAAACAUGAUUAUGUGGCACACAAUUAAAGAUGAGAGAGAGGGUUAGAGUAGUAACAUAUGUAGAUACCGUAACAUGUUAAAUG